CCUACGGGAGGCAGCAGUGGGGAAUAUUGGACAAUGGGCGAAAGCCUGAUCCAGCAAUUCCGCGUGUGUGAAGAAGGCCUUCGGGUUGUAAAGCACUUUAGUUGGGGAAGAAACAGCUUGGCCACACCAAGCCUUGACGGUACCCAAAGAAUAAGCACCGGCUAACUCUGUGCCAGCAGCCGCGGUAAUACAGAGGGUGCAAGCGUUAAUCGGAUUUACUGGGCGUAAAGGGUGCGUAGGUGGUUUUGUAAGUCGGAUGUGAAAGCCUGGGGCUCAACCUCAGAAUUGCACUCGAUACUGCAAGACUAGAGUUCGGUAGAGGGCGGCGGAAUUCCCGGUGUAGCGGUGAAAUGCGUAGAUAUCGGGAGGAACAUCAAUGGCGAAGGCAGCCGCCUGGGCCUGAACUGACACUGAGGCACGAAAGCGUGGGUAGCAAACAGGAUUAGAUACCCUGGUAGUCCACGCUGUAAACGAUGAGAACUUGACGUUGGUUCGUUUUACGAAUCGGUGUCGCAGCUAACGCGAUAAGUUCUCCGCCUGGGGAGUACGGCCGCAAGGUUGAAACUUAAAUGAAAUUGACGG
rnacentral:rRNA from 1 species